rnacentral:rRNA from 1 species
GGGCCCGCACAAGCGGUGGAGCAUGUGGUUUAAUUCGAUGAUACGCGAGGAACCUUACCAGGGCUUAAUGUAGUGGGACAGGUCUAGAGAUAGACCCUUCUUCGGACUCAUUACAAGGUGCUGCAUGGUUGUCGUCAGCUCGUGCCGUGAGGUGUCAGGUUAAGUCCUAUAACGAGCGCAACCCCUAUCGUUAGUUGCCAGCGGGUAAUGCCGGGAACUCUAGCGAAACUGCCGGUGCAAACCGAGAGGAAGGUGGGGAUGACGUCAAAUCAGUCACGGCCCUUACGUCCUGGGGCUACACACGUGCUACAAUGGCCGGUACAGAGAGCAGCCACUACGCGAGUAGGAGCGAAUCUUCAAAACCGAUCUCAGUUCGGAUCGCAGUCUGCAACUCGACUGCGUGAAGCUGGAAUC